GUCCAAUGAGCGGCCAGCGUCCCAGGGCGGUUGAGCCAAUCAACGAUCGGCUUCACCGGAUACGCUCUUUUAAACCAGAAGUGAACCGCUUGCGUCCGCAGCUAAUGCGACGACGAGCAAGAAACUCUACAAACAUGAAACUCUACAAACAUGCUAAGCGUCGCUCGAGCAGUGACCCGGAUGAAGCCGCCUGCAGGACCCAGUCAUGUGAACACUUCAGUCGAGCAUCUGCGAGAUGAAGAAUAGAGUUUCUCAAGCUCCUCUCCCUCAAACAGGACCAUCGGCUCACUGACCUGGAGGCAACUCUUCUUUUCUCAAGCCUGAUGGUGGGAGACUUCAAAGAUGUGGUUAGACGGAGUGUUCCAGCCUUUGUGAACACGGAGAAGACAAAAUGUUGCCUGCCUGCAAAUGUUUUCACGUCCUAAAGGAUGGAAGAAUCAAAUGACUUGAACCUGGGGCCUGGCGGCCUCACUGGUACAGUCACAGGUCAGAAUUUUGACCUCCACCUGCUGCUCACAUCUCCUGUCCUUCAUCCCUGAGCUGCUGCAGUACGACCUGGGCUGACCCCAUCUGAAGCAGAAACACAAUUCCAAUGGACAAGGCGUUGGACCAGAGGAGCCUGUCAGGAGUGAUGGUGAACAACAUCAGCGAUGCCGUAGCUGCUUGUCAUCCUCAACAUGAACACUGAUCAUCUGUUUGUUACCCGAGAAGACGACUUGAAGCUCUGCAGCUGUAUUCAGAGAUUAUAGCUGGUGAGACGGGGGGCAAUGAAACUGUUUACUGAGCAUUAUAGCAUGUAAACUUUUUAGAGUAAUAGCCCAAAAUCACAAACCUGAAUAUGAGCAUAAUGUCUAUUAUAAAACAAGGUCCAGACACACUGAAGGGAAUAUGCUGAAAGUGGUCUGAGACUUUUUUUUAUUUCUUGCGUCGUCAGUGGUCACAGCUAAUCAUAAAUAUCAGCAUGUUCUCUGUGGUUUCUGCACAUCUGAAAUAUCAUGAUCGUGAUCUAACU